rnacentral:rRNA from 1 species
UACGAAGGGGGCUAGCGUUGCUCGGAAUUACUGGGCGUAAAGCGCACGUAGGCGGAUUGUUAAGUCGGGGGUGAAAUCCUGGAGCUCAACUCCAGAACUGCCUUCGAUACUGGCGAUCUCGAGUUCGGGAGAGGUGAGUGGAACUGCGAGUGUAGAGGUGAAAUUCGUAGAUAUUCGCAAGAACACCAGUGGCGAAGGCGGCUCACUGGCCGAUACUGACGCUGAGGUGCGAAAGCGUGGGGAGCAAACAGG